CGCGGGCCUUGAUUGACUACUGGGGAAACAAAGAGAAGGCAUUUCUAUUGGCUGUUGAGGAGCAGGAAGUACAUGGAGUUAAAGUAGGAAGUACAUGAGACUAGUUGCCAUUGGUAGGUGGGCGGGACCUUGGGUAUGCGGACCUGCCAGGGGCUUAAGGAGCAGGUUGUUGCUGGGCAAGAUAACAUCAGGAGUGCAAUACAAUGUAGAGCUCCCAGUGAACCCUAGGAGCAUCCAGUGACCAAGCGACGUUCCUGCUGGGCAACUGGAGACUCCCUAUUUACAAUAGCAAAGACGUGGAAUCAAGCAAAUGCCUAUCAACAAUAGACUGGAUAAAGAAAAGCUGAUAAAUAUACACCAUGAAAUACUGUGCAGCCAUGAAAAGAAAUGAGAUCGUGUCCUUUACAGUGUAAUGGAUGGAGCCAGAAGCCAUUAUCCUCAGCAAACAGAAAACAAAACAUUGUAUAUUUUCACUUAUACAUGGGAGCUGAAUGAUGAUAACACAUGGAUACAUGGAAAACAACACACACUGCGGGGUGGGAGGGUAUAGCAAAAGAAAGAGCAUCAGGGAGAAUAGCUAAUAAAUUCUAGGCUUAAUACCUAGGUGAUUGGUUAAUCUGUGAAGCAAACCACAAAGGCACUAGUUUACCUGUGUAACAAACGUGCACAUCCGCACAUGUACCCAGAGAUUAAAAUAAAAGUUGAAGAAAAGAAAGUUUAUAUACAUUUAGUUUCUUAUUUCAGAAAAAAAACAAAGAUAUUUGAGUUUGUUAGCAGAUGUGGGCCUGUUCCACAUUAAAAUUCUUCUAUAUAUUGCCUAUAUUUUUAUGAAUUAUGAGAUAUAUAUAUUCAUGAAAUGGUGCAUUUAAAAAUUGCUUAUUAGGUUUUUCACUGAAAAUUAGAGCUACUAAGAUUUAAAAUUAUCAUCAACAUAUAUAAUUACAACUACUAACUGAUACUCGAGGGGUUCUCUAGAGGGACAGAACUAAUAGGAUAUAUGUAUGUGUGAAAAGGCAUUUAUUAAGAUUUGACACACAAGAUCACAAGGUAAAGUCCCAUGAUAGCUCUUCUGUAAGUUGACGAGCAAGGAAGCCAGUGGUGGAUCAGUCCAAGUCCCAAAAUCUCAAAAGCAGGGAAGCUGAUAGUGCAGCCUUCAAUCAGUGGCAAAAGGCUGGAGAGCCUCUGACAAACCACUGGUAUAAGUCCAAGAGUCAAAACCUGAAGAACCUGGCGUCUGAUGUUCUAGGGCAGGAAGCAUCCAGCACAGGAGAAAGAUGAAGGCCGGAAGACUCAGCAAGCCUGUUUUUCCAUCUUCUGCCUGCUUUAUUCUAGUCACGCUGAUAGCUGAUGAGAUGGUGCCCACCCAGAUUAAGGGUGGGUCUGCCUCUCCCAGUCCACUGACUGAAAUUUGAAUCUCCUUUGGCAACACUUUCACAGACACACCCAGGAAAGAUACUUUGAUUCCUUCAAUCCAAUCAGGUUGAUACUCAAUAUUAACUAUCACACUAUCUGUAACAAAAUGAUUCUUUAUGCAUAAUCUAUAAGAAAAAUAUUACAAGACAUGAGGAUGUGGCUUUCGUUGAAAGUUUAUCUACUUUGGAUGUUACUUAAACUUGUUUCAUAAUAAAAUAAUUUUUUAAAUGUUACAUGUAAAAUUGAAUGUAUAAAAAUUUAUAAAGUGGUUAUAAAAGGUAAAUCUUAUUAAAAAUUUAUGCAUGAUUAAAUUGAUUGAGAUUAAAUAAAUUUACAAGAGUUUUUAAAAAUGAGCCUGAAUGUCACCAGCAUAACUAAAAUUUAAACAAGAUUAUUGUGUAAUAUUGAUGAGAUAGUAAAACAUUUUUCUCCACUUCUUGAGUAAACAGCAAAAAAUUUAAAAAGAGGGGAAAGAGAAACAAGUUCUGUGUGGCUCAUGCUAUCUUUUUUAGGUCUUUUGAUUUUUUUUUUUUUUUUUUUUGGAAAACUGAGUCUCCUCUUAAAGAGUACAGUAUAUGCUUUUUGAAAUUUUUUCAUUAUUAUCUUGGCUAAAUAAAUUGUUUUAUGGUUACCUGUAAUCUUACUAUAAUUGAGUUUUUAAAUCUUUGAUGUAUUUGGCAGGCUUCCCAAAGUCAAAUUGUAAAUUCUACAAUUAAGUCAUUUUGACCUCAAACUAACUUUGGAAUGCUUCAGAGGGCCCCUUAUAAUGUCUAAAAAAUAAAGAGAGAGAUAAGAUAAUAAGUAGACUUAUUGGAUACAAUAAACUAUAUGGGAAGCACUGUCAAAUAAGAAAUGAUCUUUAGCCUUCUUUGAGUUAUAUUUGUAUAGAUAUGUUAUAAUGUUGUUGUGAUAUGUCAUGAUACAUGUCAUCAGUCACGUUUUGAGCUAUUAUUUUAGAUUGCUUUUGUCCACAGAAAACCUAAUUUCCUUAUCGUGUUUUUAACCAUACUAAUUUAAGUCUUGUUUUCUAUACAUAAUUGCUUUAUUCUGAUGCUUUUUUUUUUCUGAAAACUCUGGAAAUCCUUUAAUGUAAUGUCUUUUUUUUUUUUAAGAGAUAAGAUUUUGCUCUGUUGCCGAGGCUGGAGUGCAGCGUGCUAAUCAUACCUUACUGUAGCCUCAGCCUCUUAGAUUCAAGGAUUGUUCUGCCUCACCAUUAUGAGUAGCUAGGACUACAGGUGUGUGCCACCACACCUCACUAUUUUACUUUAGUUUU
rnacentral:lncRNA from 1 species